rnacentral:lncRNA from 1 species
CGGCGGGCCGGCCCGGGGGAGGGGGCGGGACCCCUUUUGUUCUCUCCGCACCUCCGGGUUCGCGCGACUGUGAGCGCCCCCGCCCCGGAGCAGGGGUCCGCGCUGGGGGUCCGGAGGGCGGGGGCGCGGCCCGACGCCCCACCCCCAGCUUGUUCACUGCCGCCAGGGCCCAGCGCCUGAAGCGCGGGUCCUUCGCUGGGACGAGCGCUUUCAUCUCCGUCCCUCAGUUUCCCUCCCCUUGUCUUCUCCCUGUGUCCUGGGAGUUAUGGGGAAGCUCAGCCCUUGGCAAAUGAGCUUGGGACCUUCCUAAAACCUAAGCCAAUGAUAGGCCCGAUCUUGCCUGAGAGGGGCACGUGAGAGACCCCCAAGCUGGAGAGGCAGAUGUCCUGGUAACUCUAACCUGAGACCGUUUUCAGGACAACACCUGAGAGCAUCUCCCAGCGUGGCUGUGGCCACACACAUCCCUGGGAGUAGGACGGGCCACCGCGCUGAAGCUGUGGAUGCAGGGCUCCCAAUCUGUAGGCGAGGGGCCUCUCCCCUGCAGGGGACAGGAUCAGGACCCUGGGAGCCCUCAGUCCCCCUCCCAGCACUGAUUACCUGGAAAACCCCCCGAGCCCAGGUUGAUGAAGAAGGUGGGACCCUGACAGUGAGUGGCCUGAGCCUGGGAUGGUAGCUUGACCUCAUCUCCAAGGUCAUCCUCCCAGACCUGGGAGUCUAAAAACAUUAAAUCCUUCAGAAGGACAUAUUUGCAUCAGAUCACUGUUCAGAACGCCACUGGUGCCAUUCACGGAGCAGUCCCUGGGCUGAAGUGGCUGCUCUGGUCUGGUGAGCGGGGGCACCCACGCGAGCUCCCAGGCCCAGAGGCCUCCCCCAGAUCCUGGUGUUAGUGGCCCAUGGAAGGACUCCCAGCCCCAGAGGCUUGGCAGGUGUCUGCGGCUCCCCAGGGGUGGGGUGCUGGGAGGCUGACAUCUGUGGAGUGUUUUUACUGUUGAACAAAUUGAAUCAAUUAAACAGGCCCCAUCGGGGUGGCUGGGAGCGGUGAACAGGAGGAAAG